AGGAGCGUGGUCUAAUGGUGACGACAACUCCUUUACACGGAGUAGAUGGCGGUUCAAUUCCGCCCGUUCCUA
rnacentral:tRNA from 2 species